UGCAACAUCUUCCCAAUCUAUUGGUCUCUCCGACAUCACCACACUUGAGAUCUCCAACCCCCUCUUCCUUUCUAUUUAUAAAAACUUUAAAAGGGCGGUUGUCGAUGCAUAUGUCUAUAAUAAAUAUUGCAGAUCUCGUUGAGUUGAUCUAGAUAUAGGUUGGCGUCGGAGGGGAAACCACUUCGCCAACAUAAACUGAUGGUUUCCCAAGGACAAGCUUAGUGUCUUAAAAUAAGCACUGAUCAGAUCGUAACAUGAGCUUUUAAUUAUUUGCAACAUUACCUUGUGUAUUGAGCAUAUAAGGAUAAUUGUAAAAAAUAUUCCUUCGGGUAUUCUUGUCACUAACUUUUCUAGGAUUGGAGC
rnacentral:lncRNA from 1 species